rnacentral:rRNA from 1 species
GAUGAACGCUGGCGGCGUGCUUAACACAUGCAAGUCGAACGAUGAAGCCCAGCUUGCUGGGUGGAUUAGUGGCGAACGGGUGAGUAACACGUGAGUAACCUGCCCUUGACUCUGGGAUAAGCCUGGGAAACUGGGUCUAAUACUGGAUAUGACUUCUCAUCGCAUGGUGGGGGGUGGAAAGAUUUAUUGGUCUUGGAUGGACUCGCGGCCUAUCAGCUUGUUGGUGAGGUAAUGGCUCACCAAGGCGACGACGGGUAGCCGGCCUGAGAGGGUGACCGGCCACACGGGGACUGAGACACGGCCCAGACGCCUACGGGAGGCAGCAGUGGGGAAUAUUGCACAAUGGGCGCAAGCCUGAUGCAGCGACGUCGCGUGAGGGAUGACGGCCUUCGGGUUGUAAACCUCUUUCAGUAGGGAAGAAGCGAGAGUGACGGUACCUGCAGAAGAAGCGCCGGCUAACUACGUG